UGUUUUAUGGUUGAAUGCUAAAGGGCAGAACCCCCUUGUCUUGUUACUGCAUGUGGGGCAUUUUAUGGAGAGUGAUGUUGUAGAUGUGGGCAAACUGGUUGAAGUGCAGCUGAGCCAGACCUUGGCCCAGGUAGGACCUUGGCCCAGGUAUGCUGCCUCCUCCACCAAGACAGGCAACCUGGGUGGACAGAUUGCCAGAGGGGCAGCUCCCUAUAAAUAUUGGUUAUUGCUUAUCCUCGUCAGUGGGCACCUUCAGAAAAUGCAGGCCGCUGUACUCUCUAUGGAAAUAAAUGAAUAUGCAUCCUGUCGCUUUUCGAGCACAACUCACACUCCAAUGUAAUAUUAAGUUAUGUUUUUUUCUUCUUCUUAUAGGGCAUAAAAUUCUUAUGGUGACAAAGUUAACUUUUUACUGCUUUUAUUUUAUAUUCUGUUUUGUAUUUUCUAAUGAGGUUCCAAAACCAUUUUUUCUUAAGUUUUUCUAGAUUUAAAAUUUUGAAGGGCAUUUUAUAUUAAUUUUUUGUCAUUAGCACUAUAGGAAUUUUUUGUGACUUACAUCCCAUGUUUGUGUUUUUAUAUUAGGCGUUUACCAUUGUGCAUGUGACCUUGUUAUAGAUAAUGUACUCGAUUAAAAGUUUUGUUAUGAGGCAAA